CGGGAGCCGGGCUCCAUCCACGACGCCAAGGAAGACUCCACUCGGACUCCUACGGGAGCCGGGCUCCAUCCAUGACGCCAAGAAAGACUCCACCCGGACUCCUACGGGAGCCGGGCUCCAUCCACGAUGCCAAGGAAGACUCCACCCAGACUUCUAUAGGAGCCGGGCUCCAUCCACGACGCCAAAAAAGACUCCACCCGGACUCCUAUGGGAGCCGGGCUCCGCCCACGACUCCAAUCACAGGAGGGUUCCGUCCGAACUCCCAUGGGAGCCGAACUUCGCCUUGACUUCAGCGGAGAAAAAUUCCGAGCGAAAAGGAAAAAGGAAGGCAACGGACCAUGACAGCUACGAUUGGAAAACGGACAGCGAUCGAGGUACAGAAAACUCUGUCACCGCAAGGACUGGGGCUCCCAUCGGGAGUCCCAGCUUUUGAGGAAGUUUUUGACAUAAAAUAGGACAACUUACUUAGGGUGACAGAAGCUCGGAUCCCCGAAUUCAAGCCCUAGGAGGGACCCCAGGCCCGAAUGGCCC
rnacentral:lncRNA from 1 species